CGUGUAGGCGGCCAAUUAAGUCAGGCGUGAAAUCUCUGGGCUUAACCCAGAAAUUGCGUUUGAAACUGGAAGGCUUGAGGAUCGGAGAGGGCAGUGGAAUUCCCAGUGUAGCGGUGAAAUGCGUAGAUAUUGGGAGGAACACCAGUGGCGAAGGCGACUGCCUGGACGACACCUGACGCUGAGGCGCGAAAGCUAGGGGAGCAAACGGGAUUAGAUACCCCGGUAGUCCUAGCCGUAAACGAUGGGUACUAGGUGUGGGAGGUAUCGACCCCUUCCGUGCCGCAGUUAACACAAUAAGUACCCCGCCUGGGGAGUACGCGCAAGGUUGAA
rnacentral:rRNA from 1 species